rnacentral:lncRNA from 1 species
CGGUCGUUUCUUUUCCGCGACGGAGAGGAGAGAGCGUGAGAGUGACGGAUGCGCGAGCUCCACGUGUUUGCCUUGAUCAAUUGCCGAACGUCGCGAAUACAGCAAAAUCCCGAAAGCUUUGCAAUUUUAUUUCAACGAAUUGAAAUUAGGCUCGUAUAUGUCGCAUCGCGGUUCGUCGAUCCUUGUGAUUUGGAAACGAAAACACGGCAAAACUGAUGAGGAAGAUUGAAAUCACGAGGACCAGUCAUUUGCAAUCUCGUAUUUCCUCUUCUACCGUAAAACCGACUUCUUAUCGAUUGCCGUUAGUGGUUUGUUUUUUUCUUUCUUUUUUUAUAUCGUGGUUUUUUUUAUUUCCUAUCCCGUAUUCAAUCCUAUCGUCCUUGCUGCCUUGUUUGAAACUGAGUUUCAAGUUUAGGCUGGUGACAGUAUAACGCUGGCGGUUGUGCGAUGGUGAUCGAAACUGUGUCGCUGGUGAAAUUAACCUGACAUUACACUUUCUGAACACGUCGUUGCAAUUAAACAUUGUGAAUAUCGAACAAGCUGCUUCGUUUCUUCUAAACCUUGCUGAACUUUUCUACUCCCUACAAUUUCAAGUGACGUGUAUAUACAAAUACAUACAUACAUAUAUAUAUAUUUAUUAUAUGUAUAUAUAUGUAUACAUAUCUGUACUCAUCGCGUUAAAAUAUCGACUAAACCGCGGCGAGAAUUCCUUCGGAUAAAAGGGUAUAUAAUAUAAUAUCAUUACCUCUUGUCUCAAAGUGGUGCGCGAAAUUCUCCUUAGAUAUAAUUACCGUGGAAAGUGACUUGAAUUGAAAAUGUCGCCGAGCUUUCAACGCUGCAGACUAUAAAACGCCUCUGGGGAGCUGUGGACAGCACUCAUAAAAAUUGUGCAAUGAAACGUGGAACGGCGAGACGGACGAACUUUGACUUUUACUGAAAACAAGAUCAAGUAAGUUCGAAACACCGCGCUGGCGAUAACUUGGAAUUUGGAUGAGUGUGUGAUUACCUUUCACAAAACUCGGAGGUGAACGAAACGGCGGUGCUGCUGUUUAUUGGAGCUCGGACUCACCUCGUUCGAACUCAUUAUCGUCAGGUAUAACGACUCGUGGUAAUCGAACGCUUGGAAGGAUUACUGUACGUAAACGACCGGGGGAAGCCACAGUAUCCUGGAAACGUCUGGACGCUCUGUUAUUGGCUUUGAGAAUUUGUUCCGACGUCAGAGGAAACACAGAAAUGCGUCUGUUGUCGGGUGUUACUGGUCAAGUAAAAUAUUUCCUUGAAGCGCAAAGCGGUUGUAGUGACAAAAUGCAACGUUUUGUUUUAUUGUUCAUUUCGCAAUUUAGCGUAUUAAUUAAAAAUAAAACCAAGAAGAUUUUGUGUCGAGAAA